CAAUAGCGUAUAUUAAAGUUGUUGCGGUUAAAAAGCUCGUAGUUGGAUUUCUGCUGAGAACGACCGGUCCGCCCUCUGGGUGUGUAUCUGGCUCUUUCUUGGCAUCUUCUUGGUGAACGUUGCUGCACUUGACUGUGUGGAGCGCUACCCAGGACUUUUACUUUGAGGAAAUUAGAGUGUUUCAAGCAGGCAUACGCCUUGAAUACAUUAGCAUGGAAUAAUAAGAUAGGACCUCGGUUCUAUUUUGUUGGUUUCUAGAGCUGAGGUAAUGAUUAAUAGGGAUAGUUGGGGGCAUUCGUAUUUAACUGUCAGAGGUGAAAUUCUUGGAUUUGUUAAAGACGAACUAGUGCGAAAGCAUUUGCCAAGGAUGUUUUCAUUGA
rnacentral:rRNA from 1 species